rnacentral:lncRNA from 1 species
CACAAAAUACUCCCGUAGACCGCGAGAAACUAGCCUGAAACGACCUUCGGUCCAUGGUGGACCACUCGAAAUCAAGAAAAAUCGCCCGCCCAGUCCACGCACUGCACAUGGACCGCAUGGGAGAACUGCCACCGGUCUCCACCGUUUCGAUUAUCGUGCCAUCUUCUAUCGAGCGUAUCUCCUUUAUUCAAUCUUCGUUGGGGC